UACGUAGGGUGCGAGCGUUAAUCGGAAUUACUGGGCGUAAAGGGUGCGCAGGCGGCGUCGCAAGUCAGGCGUGAAAUCCCCGGGCUUAACCUGGGAACUGCACUUGAAACUACGAUGCUGGAGUAUGGCAGAGGGAGGUGGAAUUCCACGUGUAGCGGUGAAAUGCGUAGAGAUGUGGAGGAACACCGAUGGCGAAGGCAGCCUCCUGGGCCAAUACUGACGCUCGUGCACGAAAGCGUGGGGAGCAAACAGG
rnacentral:rRNA from 1 species